UACGUAGGGUGCAAGCGUUGUCCGGAAUUAUUGGGCGUAAAGAGCUCGUAGGCGGUUCCGCAAGUCGGGUGUGAAAAAUCUGGGCUCAACCCAGUGGAGCACUCGAUACUGCGGUGACUAGAGUACGGUAGAGGAGUGUGGAAUUCCUGGUGUAGCGGUGAAAUGCGCAGAUAUCAGGAGGAACACCAAUGGCGAAGGCAGAUCUCUGGGCCGUAACUGACGCUGAGGAGCGAAAGCAUGGGGAGCGAACAGG
rnacentral:rRNA from 1 species